GAAAACACCAGUGUGAAAGCCGUACUAUACACAGAGGACUGCUGCAGACCCUGUAGACCCCGUGCGUUCCGCUUCAGUCUCUACAAGAUCUCUAGCCCAGACUGGCCUGAAACUUGCUACCUAGUCAAAGAUGACCUUGAACUUCUGAUUGUUUUGCUUCCACACUCAAAGCACUGGAAUUACUGGCAUGCACUACCCUGACCUCUUCAUACAGUGCUAGGUGUUGUGCUGGACUUCCUGAAUGCCAGGCUACUACUGUAGCGACUAAGCCACAUCUCUGGUUCUGUACUCAGGAUUUUACAUUAAGCUGCUCUUAGGAACCUUCAUCUGGUGAUGGAUGGAGAUAGAGACAGAGACCCACACUGGAGCACUGGACUGAGCUCCCAAGGUCCCAAUGAGGAGCAGAUGGAGGGAGAACACGAGCAAGGAUGUCAGGACCACGGGGGGUGCACCCUCCCACUGAGACAGUGGGGCUGAUCUAUUGGGAGCUCACCAAGGCCAGCUGGACUGUGACUGAAAAAGCAUGGGAUAAAACCGGACUCUCUGAUCAUGGCGAACAAUGAGGGCUGAUGGGAAGCCAAGGUCAAUGGCAAGGGGUUUUGAUCCUACUUCAUGAUCCGGCUUGGUGGGAGCCUAGCCAGUUUGGAUGUUCACCUUCCUAGACAUGGACGGAGGGGGGAGGUCCUUGGACUUUCCACAGGGCAGGGAACCAUGACUGCUCUUUGGAUUGGAGA